GUAUUUAUGCUUUUAUUGAAUCUAGAUGUAAAGACAAAUAUAUAUAUAUAGAGAGAGAGACAGUGUGUUACUUAGGGGAGAGGAUGAUAUACAAGAAGUCAGGACCUGGUCUGACCUCAAAUUAGCAUCAGUUUCCCCUCAUUUCAUACUGAACUUGGUGGUUUACCGACACAAUAAGCCUGUUAUAAUGAUCAAGUACAGAAUAUAACGCCACUGUGGGCCGUGCUGCUGUUAAAAACACGCCAACCGUCACUGCUAAUGUUACAACUCCCCAGGUCUUGUAGUGAUAGUCAAAGAAAUUACAAAUUAGAAGGGAAGUACAACCAUUGUGCCAUUAGAGGCGAAGUCAAGACGACUCCAUCUGCUUUCUAGCCACGGAACAGAAACGCUGCUCCGUCCUUUAUUUGACAUAAUAACAGGUUGAACAGUGAAAUUCAAACAUUAGCGACACUUGUGACAGGCUUAAUUAAAAAAGGGAGAAAGGGGAAGACCGGGAGCCAAUUUCCCUCAGUAUAAUACAGUAUAUAGAGCAACACAGUCGUGAAGGGAAACAUCAGAACCAGCACCAGGAUGGUUAAAUGGACGGAUUGUAGUCCAGGACAAUCAGAACUCAUGAGAUGCAGAAUAUGUUCAGGAGCAGUUGAUCACUGUUGUAAAAGGGUCAGAAAUGAUCAUGAGGAACAAGAUAACCUGACUCUGCUGUUAGCCAUGAGGACGGUUUGUAUCUCACAUAAUUAUACUGAUAAAUUCAUUUUUAGUGAUUAAUAGAAACAUAUUAAUAAGAAAACAUAUAGAUUAUAACAUUAAAUGUACUGUAUACCUGUAGAAGUGACAUAUAUACCAUAGAAUGACAUGAAAUACAUUUGCAAUCCAUGAAUAAUUUUGUUAUACUAUUUAUAUUCAGGCAACUUUCCCCUGUGCUACGGUGGGUUGUAGAGAAGAGUAUUUUCCCCACAGUAUUCUGGAGGAUUUCAUGUCUUUCCUGGAGAAUCUCUGGUAGAGAGAUGACAUGAGAUGACACAGACUGUAAACAAUAUGUAAACAAAGGUCAUCAGGAGGGUUAAAACCAAGUUCACCACUAAGAUAUCCCCACGAGAGAGUCUGUAUGAUAUUUACCGUGUUGACCUGAUGUGACUCUGCUCCUUGUUUACCUCGGAGUGAAUGAGACGUCACAUUAUUUUUUAAAUCACCUCCGUCAUCCUGUAUUUAAAAACACUCGCGGUCAGACGCCGCAGACGUGAUGCAGAAACAACGCAUCGCUGCGGCUCUAAAGAGGAGCACCCUGGGUAAAUUCUCUCUUAGCACACCGCUGCACCUGUGACACACAAAUAAUUUGCCUCUCACAGGUUUACAUCGCAGAAAACAAUAGCAUCUGUGGCGCUGGGUGACAACUUAUCUGCCCUCGCGGAAACAGGAACAACACGCUCUGUCUCAGCGGUAAUCUUUGAUCAGUUGAAACGCUUUCUGUGAUAAACAUUGACUCGAUCCCCACGGGCAAUCACUCUAUAGUGCUGGCGUCAUGGGAGGUAAUGUAUGCACAGACAUGUUGAAUUAGCCUCGGGCCCUCGUACACACACAUGCAUGCAAAAACACACACACACACACACACACACACACUUAUACACGUGCACACGGUGAGAUGAAUUGCUACGCCACCUAGAAUAAAUACAUAUCAGCUACAGUGAGCCGGGGCGCUUUGCUCUUUCCUAUUAAUCCUCAGCAUGGUGAUUUAUUGCGGUGUGCUUGUCAACAGCCAUAUAGUCCCCUGGAAGUGUGGCCAGCCGAGAGGAAUGGUGGGAGUUUAAGAGUAAAGCCCUGCAGCUGCCCCCCCCUCCCCUCCCCUGUAGUCUAUUUAUGUGCAUUCUGGUCCACGCUGGGGGUGAAGUGAAUGCAUGGGUUGGUUGAACAACAACAACAUUUUGCGCAAAGAGGAACAGGUCUGUAAAAAUUAUCUAUUUGUCAUAAUCCAACUUUUAAAUUGAUGUCUUUCCCCAGAUGUCGCCGCUGUAGAGAUUCUGCAUUUGCCAAGGUGAGAGGCCUGGACGCUCCGCAAUCAGCUGCGUGCAGGAGAGUGAAUACUAAAGGGCUCUUCUUGACAGAGAGACAGACAGGAGAGUUAGGCAAGAGGAAGAGAGAGAGAGAGAGAGAGAGAGAGAGAGAGAGAGAGAGAGGGGACGACAUGCAGCAAAGAGCCUGAGUCGGGUUCGUACACACUCUACCAGGUGAGACACCGUCCCAUUACUGCAGUUUGUUCAGAGCAAACACUCACAUAUGCCGCCCUUCUUCUGUAAAUACUGCAGCACCAAUUGUGUGUUAAUCCGCAGGUGAAAAUAGUCCCCAACAAAUGCACUAUUUAUGUUUUGAUAAGAACUACAGUGCACAGCUGUUAUAGACAUUUAUUAAGCCUUGUUUUUUCUAAUGAAUUAAGUCUAUUUGUGACACAUUUUGAAGGAUAUACAUCUUCAGCAGAAACACGACUAACACUGUUCAUUUUGGUGCUUUUCGUGAGAUCUGUUGUUUCUGUCUACGAUCUCAUAUUUGUCUGAGUAUGUUACUAUUUUAAAAACAAUGAUGAUUCACAUUGGAUCGUGUGCUCCACUGACCUUCAUCCGUUCAAGAGCAGCUCCUAAAGUGCCCCCGAGUUGAGGUCGCUUUGUCGACUUCCGUUUCCAAGGUCAGGAAUUCACUCUGAACGUCACUUCUGGAGCAACAUGGAAGUAAAAAAAAAAAACCCUCGACAAGCUCAGAAGUAAUAUAAAUUUUAACAUUUACGCCACGUUGACUUAUUCAGUGUUCCGUGUAUAAUCCAUUAGACAAAUCUAUAGUGAAGAUUAAGCUGAAGUUUUUGACAUUUUCAGUACAAAUCAUCAUCAUUUCGCAUGUAUUUUGAGGACACUAUAUUGUGCAUACACUCUAAACUCAGAAUUCAGACCCUAAUAAAAUGGCAGACAGUCAAUAAAGUGCACUUUAUAGUAAACAGGCAGUGAUGGUCCAUGUGUUAUAUGAUCAAAAGCUCUGGAACAGCUACUAAAUGACCUUGCAGCGAGAUUGUUUUGUCAACUGCCGUUUCCACCAUCAAGAAUAAACUUUAAACCUCAACUCAAUCUUUCAUUUUGACUCGUUUUAUUGUGAAUUUUGACACAGUUACGACACACGCCGUAGAAAAACCUACAGGAACAGAGCAGCUUUUUCAUACUGCGGACACCAAGGACACUUCGACUUGAUAGCUACAAACAUGAAAUAAGGCCACUCCACUUUAAAGCGUAUUGUACGUUUGAGAGAAGACAGCGGCUUCCUUCGGCUUUGAGGCUCCGCAAGUGGCAGACGACCUUCGGGGGACUCUAAACAGUGAAAACUAAAAAGGUCUACAUAUCUCACACGGCACAAAGGACUGAAUUUCACAGAUGUUACAGGAAAUGACUGUAGCUAAUGUCGGUAUGAAGCUGUUGGAAUUCAUUUUAGAGGGACGGGGGUCCACAUGAAAGAGGAGUAAAGAGGAGGUUAACACACGGCUCAUUCGUUUUCUUCAACGCUCUACAUUGUUAUGACAUAGAAUUACAGCGGCAUGGGAUCACAAACUUUUAUAUGCAUCUUCUUUGGUGGCUGCUUCCACACUCGUGCCACACACACACACACACACACACACACACACACACGUUUUUAUAUCAUGAUUCUCAUUUAGCACAAUAUCACUUCACUGAUCUCUGAAAUAAGUCUGAAUACUUUAAAUACAUUUUUCUGUGAACGGCUGAAAACUUCACCCUUGAAUGUUCGUCUCAGACUGGCCGGUGGU